rnacentral:tRNA from 34 species
GCCGUCUUAGCUCAGUCGGUAGAGCGCAUCCAUGGUAAGGAUGAGGUCGUCGGUUCAAGCCCGAUAGACGGCUGCA